GACGAACGCUGGCGGCGUGCUUAACACAUGCCAGUCGAACGGAAAGGUCCUGCUUUUGUGGGGUGCUCGAGUGGCGAACGGGUGAGUAACACGUGAGUAACCUGCCCUUGCCUUUGGGAUAACUUCAGGAAACUGGGGCUAAUACCGGAUAGGAGCUCCUGCUGCAUGGUGGGGGUUGGAAAGUUUCGGCGGUUGGGGAUGGACUCGCGGCUUAUCAGCUUGUUGGUGGGGUAGUGGCUUACCAAGGCUUUGACGGGUAGCCGGCCUGAGAGGGUGACCGGCCACACUGGGACUGAGAUACGGCCCAGACUCCUACGGGAGGCAGCAGUGGGGAGUAGUGCACAAUGGGCGGAAGCCUGAUGCAGCAACGCCGCGUGCGGGAUGACGGCCUUCGGGUUGUAAACCGCUUUCGCCUGUGACGAAGCGUGAGUGACGGUAAUGGGUAAAGAAGCACCGGCUAACUACGUG
rnacentral:rRNA from 1 species